UACGUAGGGGGCUAGCGUUGUCCGGAAUCAUUGGGCGUAAAGAGCGCGUAGGCGGCCAGGCAAGUCCGGUGUGAAAGUCACAGGCUCAACCUGUGAAUGCCGCUGGAAACUGUCUGGCUAGAGUCCGGAAGGGGCGAGUGGAAUUCCUGGUGUAGCGGUGAAAUGCGUAGAUAUCAGGAAGAACACCGGUGGCGAAAGCGCUCUGCUAGGCCGCAACUGACACUGAGGGACGAAAGCUAGGGGAGCGAAUGGG
rnacentral:rRNA from 1 species